CCUUGGCAUCUAUUCAGUACAGUAAUCCAUGCAUNUUUUUUUUUUUUUUUUUUUUUUUUUUUGUUCCUCUCCCCUCUCAGGUUUAGCUGGUGGAUCACAUUGUGAAAUCUGCAGCCAUGAAAGGCCUUCCAUUUAUUGCAUCCUUCAAAACGAAAUAUUAGCAUGGGAGGCUAAGCUGGGAAUUAUGGAGUAGUGGCUUCAAGUUCCAGUUCACAGGAGACUCCGUGACAGUACAAGGAGAGCUGUCAAUAAGAAAUGGU
rnacentral:lncRNA from 1 species